AGUCGGAUGUGAAAUCCCCGGGCUCAACCUGGGAACUGCAUUCGAAACUGGCAGGCUUGAGUCUUGUAGAGGGGGGUAGAAUUCCAGGUGUAGCGGUGAAAUGCGUAGAGAUCUGGAGGAAUACCGGUGGCGAAGGCGGCCCCCUGGACAAAGACUGACGCUCAGGUGCGAAAGCGUGGGGAGCAAACAGGAUUAGAUACCCUGGUAGUCCACGCCGUAAACGAUGUCUACUUGGAGGUUGUGCCCUUGAGGCGUGGCUUCCGGAGCUAACGCGUUAAGUAGACCGCCUGGGGAGUACGGCCGCAAGGUUAAAACUCAAAUGAAUUGACGGGGGCCCGCACAAGCGGUGGAGCAUGUGGUUUAAUUCGAUGCAACGCGAAGAACCUUACCUGGUCUUGACAUCCACGGAAGUUUUCAGAGAUGAGAAUGUGCCUUCGGGAACCGUGAGACAGGUGCUGCAUGGCUGUCGUCAGCUCGUGUUGUGAAAUGUUGGGUUAAGUCCCGCAACGAGCGCAACCCU
rnacentral:rRNA from 1 species